GACGAACGCUGGCGGCGUGCUUAAUACAUGCAAGUCGAACGGAAAGGCCCUGCUCUUGUGGGGUGCUCGAUUGGCGAACGGGUGAGUAACACGCGAGUAACCUGCCCUUGACUUUGGGAUAACUUCUGGAAACUGGGGCUAAUACCGGAUAGGAGCUCCUGCUGCACGGGGGGGGAUGGAAAGUGACGGCGGUUGGGGAUGGACUCGCUGCUUAUCAGCUUGUUGGUGGGGUAGGGGCUUACCAAGCCUAUGACGGGUAGCCCGCCUUAGAGCGUGGACAGCCACCUUGGGACUGAGGUACGCCCCAGACUCGUACGGGCGGCAGCAGUCGGGAAUCUGGCACAGUGGGGGGGAGCCUGAUGCAGCAGCGCCGCGUGCGGGAUGCCGGCCUUCGGGUUGUAAACAGCUUUCGCCUGUGCCGAAGCGUGAGUGACGGUAAUGGGUAAGGAAGCCCCGGCUAACUACGUG
rnacentral:rRNA from 1 species